rnacentral:rRNA from 1 species
AACGAACGCUGGCGGCAUGCCUAACACAUGCAAGUCGAACGAGACCUUCGGGUCUAGUGGCGCACGGGUGCGUAACGCGUGGGAACCUGCCCUUAGGUUCGGAAUAACUCCCCGAAAGGGGUGCUAAUACCGGAUAAUGUCUUCGGACCAAAGAUUUAUCGCCUUUGGAUGGGCCCGCGUUGGAUUAGCUAGUUGGUAGGGUAAAAGCCUACCAAGGCGACGAUCCAUAGCUGGUCUGAGAGGAUGAUCAGCCACACUGGGACUGAGACACGGCCCAGACUUCUACGGGAGGCAGCAGUUGGGAAUAUUGGACAAUGGGCGAAAGCCUGAUCCAGCAAUGCCGCGUGAGUGAUGAAGGCCUUAGGGUUGUAAAGCUCUUUUACCCGGGAUGAUAAUGACAGUACCGGGAGAAUAAGCUCCGGCUAACUCCGUG